ensembl:lncRNA
AUGAAGCUAUGGAUAGCUUUUCCCCCCAGUAUGUUACGAUUAAAAAGAAAAUGGAAAUUAAAAGAAAACUUGAGCGAUAAUAGUUUCUGCAGGAUUCUGACUCCCAGCCAGAAUAACUCAAAAGGUCUCUGCUUUCAGCAACAGAGUCUACUGCCAACUCCUGUAUCCACAUCUGCAAAAUCAAGGAAACACUGCCUUAAAGGAGUGGUUCUCAAGAUUUGAGCACUUCAGAAUCACCUAACCUUAGAGUCCUGGGUAGGAGUGAAGAUUCUGCAUAUUUACAAAGGUCCAAGGACCAUAUGGCCAAGUCAUAUACCUUAUUGAGGUUAUGGUUUCUCCUGAAAGAAAUAGCUAUCUCUGCUGUCUGUCACCCUAGGACUGGUCAACCCUGGA